UUCCCCUAGUAACGGCGAGUGAAGCGGGAAAAGCUCAAAUUUGAAAUCUCUCGGGUUCCCCGAGCGAAUUGUAGUUUCAAGAGGCGCUUUCGGGGGCAGCCUUGGACCAAGUCCGCUGGAACGCGGCACCAUAGAGGGUGAGAGUCCCGUUGGUCCAGGAGCCUGCUCCUAUGUGAUGCGUUUUCAACGAGUCGCGUAGUUUGGGAAUGCUGCGCAAAUUGGGUGGUAAAUACCAUCUAAAGCUAAAUACUGGCGAGAGACCGAUAGCGAACAAGUACCGUGAGGGAAAGAUGAAAAGAACUUUGAAAAGAGAGUUAAACAGUACGUGAAAUUGUCAAAAGGGAAACGCUUGAAACCAGUAUUCCGCGCGCCAAAUCAGCCGCAAGGUGCAUUUUGGUGCGUGGGGGUCAGCAUCAGUUUUGUGUCGGGUAAAAAGCCGGCGGAAGGUGGCUCUGCGUUAUAGCCGCCGGACGAUGCCCGGAACAAGACUGAGGACUGCAGCCCUGCAUUGGGGAAGCUGCCGCCCCCGACCGCCCGCUGGCCGACUACUUGUAGACGUCCGGCGACGCCAAGGGGCCCGGUGGUGUACCACUCUGGGCUUGGGAUGCUGACGAAAUGGUUUUAAACGACCCGUCUU
rnacentral:rRNA from 1 species